GGAAGGCCUUUGGGUUGUAAACCUCUUUUCUCAGGGAAGAAGAUCUGACGGUACCUGAGGAAUAAGCAUCGGCUAACUCCGUGCCAGCAGCCGCGGUAAUACGGAGGAUGCAAGCGUUAUCCGGAAUUAUUGGGCGUAAAGCGUCCGCAGGUGGUCUUUCAAGUCUGCUGUCAAAGACCAGAGCUUAACUCUGGGCAGGCGGUGGAA
rnacentral:rRNA from 1 species